rnacentral:ncRNA from 1 species
UAUCUGGUUGAUCCUGCCAGUAGUCAUAUGCUUGUCUCAAAGAUUAAGCCAUGCAUGUCUAAGUAUAAGCAAUUUAUACAGUGAAACUGCGAAUGGCUCAUUAAAUCAGUUAUCGUUUAUUUGAUAGUUUCUUUACUACAUGGAAUACCUGUGGUAAUUCUAGAGCUAAUACAUGCUUAAAAUCCCAACUUACGAAGGGAUGUAUUUAUUAGAUAAAAAAUCAAUGUCUUCGGACUUCUGAUGAUUCAUAAUAACUUUUCGAAUCGCAUGGCUUUAUGCUGGCGAUGGUUCAUUCAAAUUUCUGCCCUAUCAACUUUUGAUGGUAGGAUAGUGGCCUACCAUGGUUUCAACGGGUAACGGGGAAUAAGGGUUCGAUUCCGGAGAGGGAGCCUGAGAAACGGCUACCACAUCCAAGGAAGGCAGCAGGCGCGCAAAUUACCCAAUCCUAAUUCAGGGAGGUAGUGACAAUAAAUAACGAUACAGGGCUUUAUGUCUUGUAAUUGGAAUGAGUACAAUUUAAAUACCUUAACGAGGAACAAUUGGAGGGCAAGUCUGGUGCCAGCAGCCGCGGUAAUUCCAGCUCCAAUAGCGUAUAUUAAAGUUGUUGCAGUUAAAAAAGACUCGUAGUUGAACUUUGGGCUUGGAGAAUCGGUCCAAC